UGUGACCAGGAGCAAGAAUAGAUAAAGGGUCAUAAGCUGAUUUUCUCUGUACAAAGGCUUCCCAGCGCCUCGGACCAAAAUGCGCCCGCCACUGUUCCUGUGUCACAUAAUGAGGAUUGAAGGUUUUGGUUACUUCAAGGCAAUAAAGUGUUCUUCCAUCUGAUACAAAUUCUUUGGAAUGAACUGGGUCCUGUGGAUCAAAGGAGACCCUCCAGUUGUUCAGCAGACCUGUCCUGUUCUUGAUCACCAUUCCUUCUAUGUAAUCAAAUGUCUUUUCUGCAGAUAUCAGCUUCUCCUGGUCCCGAGUGAAGGCGAAGAAAUCCGAAUAGAGAACCCGAAUCCACUUCACCUGUCAACAAAAACAACAGACAAUCUUAAUUAAUUAUCGCGCCACGACUUUGUUAUGCUUAUGUUGCAUGUUAGAAUGUUGUUUUUACCAUCUUUGGUGCAGGCUCUAAUGAGAUUCUUGCUUUAGUUAUGAUCCCAAACUGCCCAAGCCCUCCCAGAACUCCAUGGAAGAGGUCUGCAUUCUGCUCUUUUGAACAAUUCACCACUUCCCCUUUUCCUGCAAUCAUUUUGGGCACGUGUUAAUGCUUUCCUUUUUUGUGAUAAUUCUGCAGAUAUUAGUCCUAUGAAACUAUGGUCUUCUGGUGUCUAUAGUGGCACACAAAAGUCAAGUUCCAACUCAUAUAACCAUUCUUAUUAUUAUCAUUAUUAUUUUUUCACUCAAGCAUGCAUGUUGCUUUUGACUGUUGUCUACGUGUGCUCCAUCUCAACUAAUCCAUGACCUUUGGCAUGGCGUUGACUCUGAUAUCAAAUUGAAGUGUGUGCUCUAGCUCAACUAAAAGUUUAAGCUGAUAGUUGGAUUGCACAUUUAUGUUUAUAUAUUAUAUGCUCAACAGUCUUUGAGACCACAUCACUACUAUACAAACCUGUGACAACCUCGAGCUGAUGAACAUUGCUGAUCUGAGGGCCAUGCCGGAAUGCCUGACCGCUAAUCCCGGCAUUAGACAAGGUGCCACCCACGGUGAUAUGCAGGUAAUCCGUCCAGGAUUUGGGGGCCAAUCCAUGUUUCAGAGUCUCAUGCAACACAGUUAUCCAUAGCUCCCCAGCACAGACAUCAACAAAGGGGGACUCUCCUGCAGUGUGAACACGAAGCUCGCGCCCGCCCAGGGCCUCCAUGCUUAUUAUGAUGCCUUGCUGGGACUGCGAUUGGCCCUGGAGGGAAUGGCCGUGGCCCCGGGCCGUGACAGUGAGGCCGGAGCCGGGCCCCAUUCGCCACACAUGCUUGAUUGUCUCGGCAAUAUCUGCAACAGACUUUGGGUGCAGCACUGCCAGAGGGUGGAAAUGGUACCUGUUCCCAAAAUCCCGGGCCGCAAACUCGUUGUUUUCGAAGGUGAAAUGGCCCUCGAGGCGAAGCGCCUCGAGGGAAGAAGAAGAAGAAGAAGAAGGGACAGUGGAGAAGCAGAGAUCAAAAUCAAUGAUUAUGCAGCUUGAUAACAAGAUUAUUGUGAAGCUUCUUAUGAAGAAAAGACUGGUGGAUGGGUAUCCCAUUUUGCUUUCUUUUUGCACUUUAAGAAGUUGUUUUUUGUUCUGGAAAAAGGCAGAGAGAGAGAGAGGAGAGAGAGAAGGGUUUGUGAUCUCUCUCAAAGUAAAAGAGAAAAAAAAGUAGAGGUAUAGAACAAGAGGUGCAAGGUAGGAUGAAGAGUGGAGGAGAAUGGCAUGCAUAUAUAUAUAUAUAUUUAAAGAGGAAAAAUUUUGGGUGGCAUAGUCAACUAAUCUUGGGUGGUAAGCAUCCGUAUGAGGACUGUCUACUUUGAGUGGGAUACGAGUUAACUUUUUUCUGCUUCUUUUGGGUGUGCAUAAGGGGAAGUCAUCACAUAUGUCAAGUUGACGAAGAAACACAUGAAUAAGUCUGGUGUGAGAUCGUUUUAUUUUUAAUUUUUAUUUAUUUUUUUUACGUUACUUGCUAUAGUAUUCAUUGUUAUAUCAAACACUUAUCAUUAUAUAAUAAAUUAUAGGUGAUAGCAAA